GAGAUAGCUGGUUCUCCCCGAAAGCUAUUUAGGUAGCGCCUCGUGAAUUCAUCUCCGGGGGUAGAGCACUGUUUCGGCAAGGGGGUCAUCCCGACUUACCAACCCGAUGCAAACUGCGAAUACCGGAGAAUGUUAUCACGGGAGACACACGGCGGGUGCUAACGUCCGUCGUGAAGAGGGAAACAACCCAGACCGCCAGCUAAGGUCCCAAAGUCAUGGUUAAGUGGGAAACGAUGUGGGAAGGCCCAGACAGCCAGGAUGUUGGCUUAGAAGCAGCCAUCAUUUAAAGAAAGCGUAAUAGCUCACUGGUCGAGUCGGCCUGCGCGGAAGAUGUAACGGGGCUAAACCAUGCACCGAAGCUGCGGCAGCGACGCUUAUGCGUUGUUGGGUAGGGGAGCGUUCUGUAAGCCUGUGAAGGUGUGCUGUGAGGCAUGCUGGAGGUAUCAGAAGUGCGAAUGCUGACAUAAGUAACGAUAAAGCGGGUGAAAAGCCCGCUCGCCGGAAGACCAAGGGUUCCUGUCCAACGUUAAUCGGGGCAGGGUGAGUCGACCCCUAAGGCGAGGCCGAAAGGCGUAGUCGAUGGGAAACAGGUUAAUAUUCCUGUACUUGGUGUUACUGCGAAGGGGGGACGGAGAAGGCUAUGUUGGCCGGGCGACGGUUGUCCCGGUUUAAGCGUGUAGGCUGGUUUUCCAGGCAAAUCCGGAAAAUCAAGGCUGAGGCGUGAUGACGAGGCACUACGGUGCUGAAGCAACAAAUGCCCUGCUUCCAGGAAAAGCCUCUAAGCAUCAGGUAACAUCAAAUCGUACCCCAAACCGACACAGGUGGUCAGGUAGAGAAUACCAAGGCGCUUGAGAGAACUCGGGUGAAGGAACUAGGCAAAAUGGUGCCGUAACUUCGGGAGAAGGCACGCUGAUAUGUAGGUGAAGCGACUUGCUCGUGGAGCUGAAAUCAGUCGAAGAUACCAGCUGGCUGCAACUGUUUAUUAAAAACACAGCACUGUGCAAACACGAAAGUGGACGUAUACGGUGUGACGCCUGCCCGGUGC
rnacentral:rRNA from 1 species